UAGGAGGUGGUGUAGUGGGAGCACCAAGAGUUUUGAUCUCUUGAGGAUAGGUUCGAGUCCUUUCUUUCUAG
ensembl:Mt_tRNA